CCUACGGGGUGCUGCAGUAGGGAAUUUUUCGCAAUGGGGGAAACCCUGACGCAGCAACGCCGCGUGAUCGAUGAAGCCCUUCGGGGUGUUAAGAUCUGUCAGUGGGGACGAAACCUGACGGUACCCACAGAGGAAGCACCGGCUAACUCCGUGCCAGCGGCCGCGGUAAUACGGGGGGUGCAAGCGUUGCCCGGAGUCAUUGGGCGUAAAGUGUUCGUAGGUGGCACGGUAAGUCUGGUGUUAAAGGGGGAAGCUCAACGUCCGUAGGGCACUGGAUACUGGCGGGCUUGAAUGCGGUAGAGGUAAAGGGAAUGCCUGGUGUAGCGGUGAAAUGCGUAGAUAUCAGGAGGAACAUCGGUGGCGUAGGCGCUUUACUGGGCCGUAAUUGACACUGAGGAACGAAAGCCGGGGUAGCAAAUGGGAUUAGAUACCCUUGUAGUC
rnacentral:rRNA from 1 species